ACGUACACUCCUACGGGAGGCAGCAGUGGGGAAUAUUGCACAAUGGGCGCAAGCCUGAUGCAGCCAUGCCGCGUGUAUGAAGAAGGCCUUCGGGUUGUAAAGUACUUUCAGCGGGGAGGAAGGCAAUACGGUUAAUAACCGUGUUGAUUGACGUUACCCGCAGAAGAAGCACCGGCUAACUCCGUGCCAGCAGCCGCGGUAAUACGGAGGGUGCAAGCGUUAAUCGGAAUUACUGGGCGUAAAGCGCACGCAGGCGGUCUGUCAAGUCGGAUGUGAAAUCCCCGGGCUCAACCUGGGAACUGCAUUCGAAACUGGCAGGCUUGAGUCUUGUAGAGGGGGGUAGAAUUCCAGGUGUAGCGGUGAAAUGCAUAGAGAUCUGGAGGAAUACCGGUGGCGAAGGCGGCCCCCUGGACAAAGACUGACGCUCAGGUGCGAAAGCGUGGGGAGCAAACAGGAUUAGAAACCCGUGUAGUCCCAUG
rnacentral:rRNA from 1 species